rnacentral:rRNA from 1 species
CUUGCUCCUGAUGUUACGGCGGACGGGUGAGUACACGUGGGUACCUGCCUGUAAGACUGGGAUAACUCCGGGAAACCGGGGCUAAUACCGGAUGCUUGUUUGAACCGCAUGGUUCAAACAUAAAAGGUGGCUUCGGCUACCACUUACAGAUGGACCCGCGGCGCAUUAGCUAGUUGGUGAGGUAAUGGCUCACCAAGGCAACGAUGCGUAGCCGACCUGAGAGGGUGAUCGGCCACACUGGGACUGAGACACGGCCCAGACUCCUACGGGAGGCAGCAGUAGGGAAUCUUCCGCAAUGGACGAAAGUCUGACGGAGCAACGCCGCGUGAGUGAUGAAGGUUUUCGGAUCGUAAAGCUCUGUUGUUAGGGAAGAACAAGUACCGUUCGAAUAGGGCGGUACCUUGACGGUACCUAACCAGAAAGCCACGGCUAACUACGUGCCAGCAGCCGCGGUAAUACGUAAGUGGCAA